rnacentral:lncRNA from 1 species
UAUGCUCUUGUCGUUCUGGUCUGUUCUUCCUGUUAUAGGCAAAUGAAUCUGUGUGGUAGUGUAGCAAAGGAGAAGGUGCGAGUUAUCUUCUUUUGUUCAUACUCUCAGCACCAUUUCUAAUUCUUCAGUAUUUUAUAGACUUUAUUAUUAUUGACUUUUUACUUAGAUUUUACUUAGAUUAACUUUUUAUCUCUUAUUCUCUAUACACUGAAUCAGAAAAUUACAAUUACAAUGUCAGAUAUUUGUUUAGACUUUAAGGCCAGAGAGUCCUUUGUUAUGACUACUCAUAAUAAUUCAAAAGCAGCCACAGAUGACAAGUUAAAAAUGAGCAUGGCUCCACUCAUAUGAGCUCAAUGAAGAGGGUAUAAUUUAUCAUCUCAGACUGUGUUCUAAAGAGUAUCUGUAGUUGUUCAUUGACUCACAAGCUGGUUGCUGGGCUCAGCACUUGAUUCUCAUGAUCUAAAUUAUUCCUCACAAAACACCCAAAACAUGAGCAAGUAUAACCUACCAGUUCCUCAGAAUGGCAAAGGAAUGACAAAGACAACAAUACGACAAAACCAAAGUCCUCACUGCUGUGCAUAUUGCUUUCCUUAUUGAGUUUUUGUAACUAUCCAAGAUUUUCUAUUUUCAAGAAAUUAACAACAUAAACAUGUUGUGUUUUUGCCAAAGACAAGACUUUGUGAAUAAAGGUCAUUUCUUUAUU